GUGAAUACGUUCCCGGGCCUUGUACACACCGCCCGUCAAGCCAUGGGAGCCGGGGGUACCUGAAGUCCGUAACCGCGAGGAUCGGCCUAGGGUAAAACUGGUGACUGGGGCUAAGUCGUAACAAGGUAGCCGUACCGGAAGGUGCGGCUGGAACACCUCCUUUCUGGAGCUU
rnacentral:rRNA from 1 species